AGCUUUGUGCAGUGGCAGUAUCGUACCCAAUGAGGGUUAUCCGAGGCGCGAUUAUUGCUAACAGAAAAUAAGUUAGCCCAGAGAAAUGCUUCUCUACAUCAUCUACAAAUCUGUAGAAAAUAAUUAGGAAUGCCCCAAUGCA
ensembl:snRNA U4 U4 spliceosomal RNA